rnacentral:rRNA from 1 species
UACGAAGGGGGCUAGCGUUGCUCGGAAUCACUGGGCGUAAAGCGCACGUAGGCGGCUUGUUAAGUCAGGGGUGAAAUCCUGGAGCUCAACUCCAGAACUGCCUUUGAUACUGGCGAGCUUGAGUUUGGGAGAGGGAUGCGGAAUUCCAGGUGUAGCGGUGAAAUGCGUAGAUAUCUGGAGGAACACCGGUGGCGAAGGCGGCAUCCUGGACCAACACUGACGCUGAGUGAGCGAAAGCCAGGGGAGCAAACGGG